rnacentral:rRNA from 1 species
GAUAAACGCUGGCGGCGUGCCUAAUACAUGCAAGUCGAGCGAACAGAUGAGGAGCUUGCUCCUCUGACGUUAGCGGCGGACGGGUGAGUAACACGUGGAUAACCUACCUAUAAGACUGGGAUAACUUCGGGAAACCGGAGCUAAUACCGGAUAAUAUAUUGAACCGCAUGGUUCAAUAGUGAAAGACGGUUUUGCUGUCACUUAUAGAUGGAUCCGCGCCGCAUUAGCUAGUUGGUAAGGUAACGGCUUACCAAGGCAACGAUGCGUAGCCGACCUGAGAGGGUGAUCGGCCACACUGGAACUGAGACACGGUCCAGACUCCUACGGGAGGCAGCAGUAGGGAAUCUUCCGCAAUGGGCGAAAGCCUGACGGAGCAACGCCGCGUGAGUGAUGAAGGUCUUCGGAUCGUAAAACUCUGUUAUUAGGGAAGAACAAAUGUGUAAGUAACUAUGCACGUCUUGACGGUACCUAAUCAGAAAGCCACGGCUAACUACGUG